GAUGAACGCUGGCGGCGUGCCUAAUACAUGCAAGUCGAGCGAACGGACGAGAAGCUUGCUUCCCUGAUGUUAGCGGCGGACGGGUGAGUAACACGUGGAUAACCUACCUAUAAGACUGGGAUAACUUCGGGAAACCGGAGCUAAUACCGGAUAAUAUUUUGAACCGCAUGGUUCAAAAGUGAAAGACGGUCUUGCUGUCACUUAUAGAUUGAUCCGCGCUGCAUUAGCUAGUUGGUAAGGUAACGGCUUACCAAGGCAACGAUGCAUAGCCGACCUGAGAGGGUGAUCGGCCACACUGGAACUGAGACACGGUCCAGACUCCUACGGGAGGCAGCAGUAGGGAAUCUUCCGCAAUGGGCGAAAGCCUGACGGAGCAACGCCGCGUGAGUGAUGAAGGUCUUCGGAUCGUAAAACUCUGUUAUUAGGGAAGAACAUAUGUGUAAGUAACUGUGCACAUCUUGACGGUACCUAAUCAGAAAGCCACGGCUAACUACGUG
rnacentral:rRNA from 1 species